GAGUUUGAUCCUGGCUCAGAACGAACGUUGGCGGCAGGCCUAACACAUGCAAGUCGAGCGAGGACUUCGGUCCUAGCGGCGGACGGGUGAGUAACGCGUGGGAACGUGCCCUUUGGUUCGGAAUAGCCCUGGGAAACUGGGAGUAAUACCGGAUGAGCUCUUCGGAGGAAAGAUUUAUCGCCAAAGGAUCGGCCCGCGUUGGAUUAGGUAGUUGGUGGGGUAAUGGCCUACCAAGCCGACGAUCCAUAGCUGGUUUGAGAGGAUGAUCAGUCACACUGGAACUGAGACACGGUCCAGACUCCUACGGGAGGCAGCAGUAGGGAAUAUUGGACAAUGGGCGCAAGCCUGAUCCAGCCAUGCCGCGUGAGUGAAGAAGGCCCUCGGGUUGUAAAGCUCUUUUGUCCGGAAAGAAAAGCGCCGGGUUAAUACCCUGGUGUCCUGAUGGUACCGGAAGAAUAAGCACCGGCUAACUUCGUGCCAGCAGCCGCGGUAAUACGAAGGGUGCAAGCGUUACUCGGAAUUACUGGGCGUAAAGCGUGCGCAGGCGGUCAUGCAAGACAGAUGUGAAAUCCCCGGGCUUAACCUGGGAACUGCAUUUGUGACUGCAUGGCUGGAGUGCGGCAGAGGGGGAUGGAAUUCCGCGUGUAGCAGUGAAAUGCGUAGAUAUGCGGAGGAACACCGAUGGCGAAAGCAAUCCCCUGGGCCUGCACUGACGCUCAUGCACGAAAGCGUGGGGAGCAAACAGGAUUAGAUACCCUGGUAGUCCACGCCCUAAACGAUGUCAACUGGUUGUUGGACGGCUUGCUGUUCAGUAACGAAGCUAACGCGUGAAGUUGACCGCCUGGGGAGUACGGCCGCAAGGUUGAAACUCAAAGGAAUUGACGGGGACCCGCACAAGCGGUGGAUGAUGUGGUUUAAUUCGAUGCAACGCGAAAAACCUUACCUACCCUUGACAUGUCAAGAAUCUUGCAGAGAUGUGAGAGUGCUCGAAAGAGAACUUGAACACAGGUGCUGCAUGGCCGUCGUCAGCUCGUGUCGUGAGAUGUUGGGUUAAGUCCCGCAACGAGCGCAACCCUUGCCAUUAGUUGCUACGAAAGGGCACUCUAAUGGGACUGCCGGUGACAAACCGGAGGAAGGUGGGGAUGACGUCAGGUCCUCGUGGCCCUUAUGGGUAGGGCUACACACGUCAUACAAUGGCCGGUACAGAGGGCUGCCAACCCGCGAGGGGGAGCUAAUCCCAGAAAACCGGUCGUAGUCCGGAUCGCAGUCUGCAACUCGACUGCGUGAAGUCGGAAUCGCUAGUAAUCGCGGAUCAGCUUGCCGCGGUGAAUACGUUCCCGGGUCUUGUACACACCGCCCGUCACACCAUGGGAGCGGGUUCUGCCAGAAGUAGUUAGCCUAACCGCAAGGAGGGCGAUUACCACGGCAGGGUUCGUGACUGGGGUGAAGUCGUAACAAGGUAGCCGUAUCGGAAGGUGCGGCUGGAUCACCUCCUUUCUA
rnacentral:rRNA from 1 species